GUCAUGUAGUGGAACCAUCACAGGAUGGAAAAGGCCACAAAAGAGAUGAAUGAAACGAAUGACUAGUAUCACAAGAUAGAAUACCAGAUAUGCAAUUCCGAGGACGGAAUUUUUAUAAGGAGGGAGGAAUGUAAUACCCCGUUUCCCUGAGUUAAAUUUAGAAUUUAUUUUCAAAAUUUAGAAGUAAGAUGAUUCACGCCGGAUAUAAAGAAAAUGAAUUUAUUUUAAUUCCAAC
rnacentral:lncRNA from 1 species